CAGUCGCCGCGGUAAUACGAAGGGGGCUAGCGUUGUUCGGAUUUACUGGGCGUAAAGCGCACGUAGGCGGAUCGAUCAGUCAGGGGUGAAAUCCCAGAGCUCAACCCUGGAACUGCCUUUGAUACUGUCGAUCUGGAGUAUGGAAGAGGUGAGUGGAAUUCCGAGUGUAGAGGUGAAAUUCGUAGAUAUUCGGAGGAACACCAGUGGCGAAGGCGGCUCACUGGUCCAUUACUGACGCUGAGGUGCGAAAGCGUGGGGAGCAAACAGGAUUAGAUACCCCUGUAGUCCCUGUCUCUUAUAC
rnacentral:rRNA from 1 species